AUGUUCCUUCAUGAAAAUUGGGGAAAAGUCCUGAGUGAACAGUGCUCAUAAUCACAUACAGUUCCAGGCAUGCACAAGUGUUAACUCCCAACAUGCUCCUUCAUUUAAAUAUAAUAAUAAUUCUGCAGUGCAGGAGGAUCAUGGACAUUUGACAGUCCAUAUCUGAUUACUUCACCUGAAAUCUUCUUUACCUGCAUCUCCAUUAUUUGUUUGAAAAGAUAAAGAGGUUAUCAUUAUGUGCAACUUGUUUAUUUUUUCACUUGGAUUACUCUGAAAGUUUAAAUUAAAUAAAUCUAAACACUGAACUGUAAAAGAAACAGUUUAGUCCACUAUGUCCAGUUUUUGUGAACACACUAUGGGACAAUAGGAGGCGCUGUUGUACUGUGUCGCUCCAUACAAAUAUAUAAUUUCUGCAUUUCAGUUUUGAAGUCAUAAAAAACACCAGCAGCAAGUAUCGCAUUACUUCUCCCUGACAUCAUCAUGAAAUUCAUUAAUAAAAAAAUAAAGUGAAUCCAUUUUUAUAAAACUCUUGUACAUGUGCUUUAUCUCAUAAUGUCUUAUUCCUGAGAAAAUAGUUUUUCUCUUCAAGGAUGACGUCAUGAUGCAAAUUUUUGUCCAUGCAGUAUUUAUGUGCAGCUGAGCUGAGUUGAGCAGUAGAGUCUCAUCAACACUCACCAUGAAGAUCUCACUCUCUUUACUCCUGCUACUGAUCAGCUUCAUCAGUAUGAAAUGUCAAAGUCUCGAGUCGUUACAAACCUCAGUGCUGAAGAAACCUGGAGAAACACUGAGUCUCUCCUGCAGAGGAUCUGGGUUUACUUUUGGAAGCUACGACAUGCACUGGAUCAGACAGCAGGAGAACAAACCACUGGUGUGGAUGGGACGUGUUUGGUCAGGUGGAAAUGGCAAUAACUAUGCUAAUUCCUUCACAGGAAGAAUAGAAAUCACCAGAGAUAAUUCCAACAGCAUGGUGUAUCUGAAACUCUCUGGUGUGACAGCAGAGGACACAGCUGUGUAUUACUGCUCACGAAGCACAGUAGCAGAAAUAUGAGGAAACACUGUACAAAAACAUCAGUGGUGCAGCUGAUUCAUUACAUCUGGUGUUGAAGAGCUUUUAGAGAGAUUUUAGAGCUCAUUUUUUGUUUAAAAUUAAUUAUCUGUAAUGUACAAUAUUCCCUCAUUUAGUUCCUCAUGAUAGAUACUCACAGUAACAUGAAUGAUUUUCAACAAAGAUUUAGAUCAAUAAAAAAUUUACCCUAAAUCAAGAAUAUACACUUGUAUGUGCUGUUUAAAGAAAUCAUGUGAUUGUGUCAUGUGAUGUGGCUUGAUGUAAAGUCGAUUUACUAACACCCGG